rnacentral:rRNA from 1 species
AACGCGAAGAACCUUACCUGGGUUUGACAUGCACAGGACGCCGGCAGAGAUGUCGGUUCCCUUGUGGCCUGUGUGCAGGUGGUGCAUGGCUGUCGUCAGCUCGUGUCGUGAGAUGUUGGGUUAAGUCCCGCAACGAGCGCAACCCUUGUCCUAUGUUGCCAGCGGGUUAUGCCGGGGACUCGUAGGAGACUGCCGGGGUCAACUCGGAGGAAGGUGGGGAUGACGUCAAGUCAUCAUGCCCCUUAUGUCCAGGGCUUCACACAUGCUACAAUGGCCGGUACAAAGGGCUGCGAUGCCGUGAGGUGGAGCGAAUCCUUUCAAAGCCGGUCUCAGUUCGGAUCGGGGUCUGCAACUCGACCCCGUGAAGUCGGAGUCGCUAGUAAUCGCAGAUCAGCAACGCUGCGGUGAAUACGUUCCCGGGUCUUGUACACACCG